GGGGGACGUGGCCAAGUGGAUUAAGGGAGGGGAUUGGGAAUUACCAUGCGCGGA
rnacentral:tRNA from 1 species